CUCAUGAGCUCGCACGUGAGUGGGCCUGUAUAUCCAAAGAAGUGCGUUUUUGAUCGCAAGGGAAAGAUAACCUUGUUAAGCUUUCCAAAAGUACCCAGCCUUACGUGAUUAGUGGAUGCCCUUUGUUUUUUCCUGGUCAGAAACUGAGUUUCACACGUGUGUCUGUUGACGAAUAUUUUAUAAACCACGCAUAACUUCGACGCCGCAUUUUCACAUCGUUUUAUUCCUAAAGAUGGAGCUGUCUCAGCUAUACAAGUUCCCGGUCAUUAUUCGGAACUGCUGAUGGUCCUCAUGGCAGUAACAAGAAUUCUUCAGAUCAGAUAACCAAGUACACACACAAGAGGCUUACUCAACGCUUUGAAGAUCAGUCUACCUCAACCGCGUCUCAGAAGCAGACUCACACAGGAGGUAGCUAAAAUGGUAAAGUUUAUUUGCACAGAUGAGCACGGAAAGUCUACUGCAGAGGAACUGGCAACCAGGAGUACAGAGGAGACGAAGGAGAUCCUUGGAGCGCACACCACAACCACAGAGGAAGCUGACAGAGACACUGGAGACAACUGGGAUUUAAGCAGAAGCACAAGAG